rnacentral:lncRNA from 1 species
UCUCCUCAGAGCAACUCCUGUUAACAUCUCUUUGAAUUACUAAUUCUUUUGUUAAAUUGUGUGUGUGUGUGUGUGUGUGUGUUUGUGUGUGUGUGUGUGUAUGUGUGUGUGUGUGUGUUUGUGUGUGUGUGUGUUUGUGUGUGUGUUUUUGUGUGUGUGUGUGUGUAUGUGUGUGUGUGUGUGUUUGUGUGUGUGUUUUGUGUGUGUGUGUGUAUGUGUGUGUGUGUGAAUGCCAUGUCUGUGCAGGUGCCUGCAGAGGCUAGAAAAGCCCGUGGAGCUAGAGUUACAGAUGGUCCUGAAUAGCAGCCGUGGAAGCUCAGAACCAGACUCUUGUCUUCUGGAAGAACAGCAAGUGUUCUAACUUGUGGGUCAUCCCUCCAGCUCCAGAAUUGUUGAUUCUUUCUUCUUGGUAAAGCCUGCUAUUGAAUCCCUUUCAUGAAAAUUUCAGGUAGGUUUUUUUUUUAACCUUUUUACUUAACUUAAGGUUCUAUCAUAACCUUAAGCUCUGAGAUUUCUGAGUUAGUCAUAUUAUCCAAGCUCCAAAAUGUCUGUUUGGUUCUUUGUAAUCAUUUUUGUCCCUUUCUUACAUCUUAAGUUUUGCCUCAUUUUCUUUCUUUUUUUUUUUU